rnacentral:ncRNA from 1 species
UAACUGAUAUUCCGAGAAGUGGAAUGAAGGGGUAACGCCCUGAAACGCUUCCCCUGAUACUGCGUUGGAAGAAACGGAGCACAAUCUCCGGGACUGACACAGCACGCUGAAGUCGGCUGAAUAUACUCGCCUUGUGCGGAAAACGGCAGGGCAAAAGCGAGCCAGAGGUGGCCGCGAGUAAUAGGCCGGGGGUUCAC